UAACGAAGAGCCUAUAUCUAGUCCCUAAAGAUAUGGAUAUCCGGUCCCUAAUAAUCAUACUUUAGCGGGGGAAAAAAGGCACCACUUAUUUUUAUCUCUUAUAAUAUCAGAAAAUAAUAAAAUAAGCACCUAAUUAUAGAAAUAAAAACUCACGCUCCAAUAUUUCCUUCAUCACUUUGGCGAAAUCCAAAACCUAAUAGUUCAUCUCCCUGGCAAUUUGCUCUUGCUAUUGGUGAUUUGUUGUUUCCUAAAAAAUACUGGGUCAACCCUCUCCCUCCCCUUCCUAGAAAACCCUAGAAUUCAAAUUUCAUAGUCAAAUUCAUACGAACUCCAUAUUGAUUCUGAAAUUCCAUUUCAAUUAUAAAAAAAUGGCAUCGGAGAUUGAGGAGGUGCAAUCAAUAAAUGUUGAAUCAUCAUCGUCUUCGACGGCAGUUAAGGCACCGUCGAGGAGGAGAGUUUAAGGAACGAUGUGUAUGCUGCAGCUGGAUGCCGUGUGCGAUUUUCAGUGCUUCUUUAGCUAUUUUCUCUUAAUGUUUUCGGCAGAUGAAUGCUUUACCUAGUUCUUCUGAUUUAGGGUAUUUAUUUUUGCAGCUCUCUUGGUUUCGUAGGUAUGUUUAUGAACUCUUUCUUUCACUACUUGAACAAGCGUUAAUGUUUUCCCUUCCAUUUAUCUUCAAAUUCUGAGAUUAUCCUUACUUAUGUGGUGACAAAUUCAAGAAUGACAAGUUUGUGCUAAAACAAUUUAGCUUAUAUGGUUUGGGAAAUUUGAGAAUUGUCAGGUCUAUUUUUUUUGGUAUGGGGUCUUGUUUAUACCCAUCAAUUGAUGAUACUAAUGGUGCAAUUUUACUUUAAAAUCCUAUUCUUGUUGAACUUUGUUGGGUAUAAGAUAUUAUCUUUGGGAUUGCAGUCUAUUCAAGUGUUGGCUUAUGUACUUACAAAAUGUGUCGCAUAAGGUAUCCCUGUAGGUAUCAUCCACCUAUAUCAGUUGAUUCAAGUCAAACCAGGGACUGAAAUACUAUUAUGUAACAGAUGGAUUAUUAAAAAAAAAAAAUUAAAAUAAGAAUGCCACAUUUACAUUUUCUUUCCAAAAAGUUAAUUAAACACUUUAGGACAAACAUCUAAAUGAAAUAUAAAUUGCAACAAUAUUUCAAUCAUGCUAGGAGUUUCUCAUGUGGUGUUUAACCUUCUAUAAAAUUGUCAGUGAAAAAAUAUUGGAGCUAUACACAUUAACCUCAUGCUUUUGACUUCAUAUGCCUUAUUUUUAAGCUCACAUAUUAUCAAGAAUCAUGCCUCUUUCAUAAAGAAAUACCCAAUAAGUAGUUUUCUAAGCAUUGGUCUUUUUAAUCUUUGUGUUGUUAUCUGUGAUAGAUGAUCUGAUGUAACAACCCUCCAUGUCAUUUUGUAAUCAUAACUGGUAAUAAUGCCUCCAAAUAAAUGAUUUUCUACUAUGUUUUUGAAUUUUGUUGUCCCAAAGCGCAAAAUUUAUGACCAGGAAACUAUUGUGUCUAUCGCUGGAGCUGGUGUGUAUGGAAAAUCUGAGUGGAAUUUGCAGAGUUCAGCAGCCCACGAGAUUACAUCUGAUUUAGCAUCUUCAAGUAAGCAUAGGUUUUUUCCCCUCAUGUUUGACAAGAAGAUACUGGUGCAGUGCAAGUUUUGGGGAGUAUAUUGAAGAAGUAUAUGUUGCCUAUGAACAACACAAACUAGAGGCCACGGGGUUAGAAGAGUUUCAAGGACAAGUCAAGAUGGGAAUUUUGAAGACUUCAUACAAGUUGAGAAAUUGGUUGUCAUUUUCUUAGGAGAAAAUAUUUUAUUUUGCUUAGAGGUUGUGUAAACAAUACUGUGACAUGUGCCUUGUGGUUAAACCACUACAAGUGGGAUGUUAAUCAUUUUUUUUAAUAACAGUUACCAAAUUCAGAUUUGUAAAAGCAUAUUUGUUUAUGACAGCAUGAAUUUUUUGAUAAUUUAAA